rnacentral:rRNA from 1 species
CUACGGAGGGGACUAGCGUUGUUCGGAAUUACUGGGCGUAAAGAGUUCGUAGGCGGACUGAUAAGUAAGAGGUAAAAUCCCAGGGCUCAACUCUGGUACUGCCUUUUAAACUGUCAGUCUAGAGACCGGAAGAGGUUAGGGGAAUACCUAGUGUAGAGGUGAAAUUCGUAGAUAUUAGGUGGAACACCAGUGGCGAAGGCGCCUAACUGGUCCGGUACUGACGCUGAGGAACGAAAGCGUGGGGAGCAAACAGGAUUAGAUACCCUAGUAGUCC